ACGGGUGAGUAAUGCCUAGGAAUCUGCCUGGUAGUGGGGGACAACGUUUCGAAAGGAACGCUAAUACCGCAUACGUCCUACGGGAGAAAGCAGGGGACCUUCGGGCCUUGCGCUAUCAGAUGAGCCUAGGUCGGAUUAGCUAGUUGGUGAGGUAAUGGCUCACCAAGGCGACGAUCCGUAACUGGUCUGAGAGGAUGAUCAGUCACACUGGAACUGAGACACGGUCCAGACUCCUACGGGAGGCAGCAGUGGGGAAUAUUGGACAAUGGGCGAAAGCCUGAUCCAGCCAUGCCGCGUGUGUGAAGAAGGUCUUCGGAUUGUAAAGCACUUUAAGUUGGGAGGAAGGGUUGUAGAUUAAUACUCUGCAAUUUUGACGUUACCGACAGAAUAAGCACCGGCUAACUCUGUGCCAGCAGCCGCGGUAAUACAGAGGGUGCAAGCGUUAAUCGGAAUUACUGGGCGUAAAGCGCGCGUAGGUGGUUCGUUAAGUUGGAUGUGAAAUCCCCGGGCUCAACCUGGGAACUGCAUCCAAAACUGGCGAGCUAGAGUAUGGUAGAGGGUGGUGGGAAUUUCCUGUGUAGCGGUG
rnacentral:rRNA from 1 species